UACGUAGGGUGCAAGCGUUAUCCGGAAUUAUUGGGCGUAAAGAGCUCGUAGGCGGUUUGUCACGUCUGCUGUGAAAACUGGAGGCUCAACCUCCAGCCUGCAGUGGGUACGGGCAGACUAGAGUGCGGUAGGGGAGAUUGGAAUUCCUGGUGUAGCGGUGGAAUGCGCAGAUAUCAGGAGGAACACCGAUGGCGAAGGCAGGUCUCUGGGCCAUUACUGACACUGAGAAGCGAAAGCAUGGGGAGCGAACAGG
rnacentral:rRNA from 1 species